rnacentral:rRNA from 1 species
UUUCCGUAGGUGAACYUGCGGAAGGAUCAUUGUCGAAUCCUGCGAGGCAGCACGACCCGCGAACAAGUGAGAACCAAUUCGCGCCCCGCGGGAGGGAAGCCACGGCCCCCCUCCCGCGGGCGCCAACAACGAACCCCGGCGCGAGUCGCGCCAAGGAACCGGAAGUGGAUGUGCGGCCCCCCUCGCACCGGAAACGGUCGUUCGGAGGUGGGCGCACGUCGUUCGUAUCCCAUACGAAACGACUCUCGGCAACGGAUAUCUCGGCUCUCGCAUCGAUGAAGAACGUAGCGAAAUGCGAUACUUGGUGUGAAUUGCAGAAUCCCGUGAACCAUCGAGUUUUUGAACGCAAGUUGCGCCCGAAGCCGUCAGGCCUAGGGCACGUCUGCCUGGGUGUCACGCAACGUCGCCAACACCCCCUCGCGGGGCGGCGGAUGCUGGCCUCCCGUGAGCUCCCGCUCGCGGUUGGCCCAAAACACGAACCCUUGGCGACGGUUGCCACGGCACGCGGUGGUUGGAAGCAAAGGCCCCCUGAAAACCGAACCGCCGUGGGCAAGCCUCGCCGACGGGAUCAACAGACCCCGACGCGCGCGAGCGUCGUCUUUGCACAGCGACCCCAGGUCAGGCGGGAACACCCGCUGAGUUUAAG